CUACUUGAGGAUUUCACUAAAAUUUUAGCUUUAAGACUUUUGGUGCUGCCUAACAUAUCUGCAAUUUCUACUUGUCCCAUAUAUGCGGUUCUUAUGUCACCAAGAACACCACCAUUUUCUAGUUCCACUGUAGCACAGAAGUUGUCUCAGAGGCCAGCAACACAAGGAAAAGAAGUCUGGUUAGGCAGAAUUGUGGUUUUGGAGAACAUUGUGGGUGACAUUGUUAAUCUGUUUCUUGAGUCACUGGAGCUUCCGUGCAAGGGUGCUGUCUAUUAAUUGCAAAAGUAAUUGUACCAAACAAUCCACUGAACAUUAGCAUCUGUCUGUAACAUUGCUUUCUGUCCAGUCAGAUCAGCUUGCAGCUUUGUGAAAGUUUUGCAAGAGAAAAAUAGCAUUCACUACAAAAAGGUAGUGCUACAAAAAGGUAGUGGAGGAUUUUUACAAAGCUAUAUGGAAGGACAUAUGAUCAGGGUAGAAUGGUAAAAUUUGUUUGUGGUAGAGUGGAUAGAAAAAUUAGUUUCAGAACCACAUUUGUUCUUAUUAUGUAAAAUACUGUUUUUAGUAAAUUAUGCUUAUUGGGUAACAAAUAAAAGUGUAUUAAAACAGAUCCUUAGCUGGCAUAGCUCCAUUGACUUUCUAGGGCUCUACCAAUUUACCAGCUGAGAAUUCUACCGCAUGAUUGAAGAUGAAAAGCAAAUGUGAAUGUAACCAUACAGUGACAGUUUAUCACAGAAGCGUUUAAAUUUAGUGAAGGAAAGCUUAUUUUUCCAAAGGCCGAAAGAAAUAACAUGAGUUGAUCGGACGUGAACCAACAAUGAGGAAAACUGAGAGCAAGUGACUAUAUAUGAAUCGGAUUAAUAUUUCUUGUCGAGAAAAGGUAUGGGAAAAUACAUCCCAUUAGAACAUUACAUAUUUCUGUAAGACACUUGCUUAAAUUGAAGAAAAUUGGAGAUAUUGACUACAGUAAUAAUUGGAACAUGGGUAGAGAAGUGAUCUGAAUAAAAGCAAGUUCAAAAGCCUAAUAUACAAGUAUAAAUUAAAGUGGCACAGAAGAUUUUUUUUUAAAAUGUAACUAAAUUAAGAAUUGAUGAAAAAAAUAAAUUGGAGAACUGCAUGAGAAAAAAGAAAAGGAAAGAGAAUUAAAUAAAAUCUAAGCUGUCUAUUGAAGAAUCUAGAGGCAAGGUAAAAAGCCAAAAUAAAACCAUCAGGCGAAUAAAAGCAAUAGAAGGUCCAUAAACAGGCGUGAAGAGGGCUUGUAUGUCUGUGGAAAAUAAUCUGACAAAGAAUAGGUAAGUGAAGAGUCCAAAAGAACUAAAAUAAAUAAAUAGCUGUUUUUAAUGAACUUUUUUAGUUUAGUUUUGUUUUGUUUUGUUUUUUGUUUUUGUUUUUUAGAAAGCUUUAAGGAAAAUAUAGAGGCAGCAAGCAGACAUGCUAUCAGAAAAAACAGUUGCAAAGACCCAGAACAAAGGAUAACAAGCAAAAUAAUGACCAAGUGUCUGACAGCUAAAUAUAUAUAAUCUAUAGGUCCAGAUGAGAUUACCUCAAGAGAGUUUAAAGAUCUAGUGGAGGAAAUCUCAGAACCUCUGAAAAGAAAUAUACAAUAAAAGAAAGCAUACAAGUCAGAAGAGGUACCAGAUGAUAGGAAAAAAAGUGGUACCUAUCUUUAAGCGGAGUGGGAAGGAAGAACCAGAAAAAUCAUCAGCCUGGUGUUUAUUCCAGGCAAAAUAUCUCAGCAUAUAAUCAGUAUGAGAGCGUCUGGAAGAAAAAGCUUUAAUAAUGAUCAUUAGUCCAUUAAAAUAGCUUCACAGAGAAACUUAGAAUAUUAAAAUGAGAAGGCUUCUCUGUCUUCAUUGAUGUUCAGUCUCCUCCCAGUUUACUGUUAUCUGUGAAUUUCAUUAACAUGCUGUUUGUUGAGUCUUCUAGAUUGUAAGUGAAGUUGUUCCAAACCAAUCCAAAGUCUUUUAAAAACGUCAUUAUUACUAUAAUAGAUUUUUGUAUUGCUGUUGAUUACAGGGCCUUAAUCAGGGCUAGGCAAACAUAACAAAAAGAUGGUACUUGCCAUUAAAGAGCUUGUAGUCAGAAUAACUUAAGUAAAUUACUGGAAUGUUACAAUAAAUAUAAUAAAUGAAUGUGGUGGCUGUGGUGUCUCCUUAGUAUUUUAAGGCAUUAAUUUUAAUGGCACAUUAUAAACUUAAAGUAAUUAGAUGAAUACCAGUUAGAGCAAAUUAAAAUACCAUGGAGAAGAAGCUGGUUGAUGAGCAGAGAAUACAGAGCAGUCAUAUUUCCAAGUUGAGAGCAGCAUUGGGUUGAGCACUGGUAGUGUCAAUUUUGGCUCCUUUAUUCUUUAAGAUUUCCACUGAUUCUCUAGAGGAAGGUAUAAAUUCAAGCAUGAUCAAGUUAGCCAAUGACACCAAAAUUAGAAGGGUAAAAAAUAUAUGGGAGCAUAGAGAAAAAGUGAAGUGGGCUUCAUUCAACAGGAUGCGAUUCACAGCUAACAGAUGUGAAGCACUACAUCUCAGGGAGGGAAUAGAGCUCAUCUUAGAAGUGGGGCGGGGGGUUUGAGAGGGACUCUACUUGCAAUCAGUGACUAUUUAA